ensembl:snRNA U6 U6 spliceosomal RNA
UUGCUUCAGCAGCAAAUGUACUGAAAUUGGAAUGAUACAGAGAAGAUUAGCAUGGCCCCUGUGCAAUGAUGACAUGCAAAUUCUUGAACCGUUCCAUAUUUUU